rnacentral:rRNA from 1 species
AACGAACGCUGGCGGCAUGCCUAACACAUGCAAGUCGAACGAUCCCUUCGGGGAUAGUCGCGCACGGGUGCGUCACGCGUGGGAACCUGCCCUUAGGUUCGGACUAACUCAGAGAAUUUUGAGCUAAUACCGGAUAAUGUCUUCGGACCAAAGAUUUAUCGCCCUUGGAUGGGCCCGCGUUGGAUUAGCUCGUUAGUAGGGUAAAGGCCUACCAAGGCGACGAUUCAUAGCUGGUCUGAGAGGCUGAUCAGCGACACUGAGACUGAGACACGGCCCAGAAUCCUACGGGAGGGAGGAAAGGGGAAUAGUGGAAAGUCGGGGGAGGCCUGAUGGAGCAAUGCCGGGUGAGUGAUGAAGGCAGGAGAGUAGUAAAGCGCUUGUAACCGGGAUGAUAAUGACGGUACCGGAAGAAUAAGCCCCGGCUAACUACGUG